rnacentral:rRNA from 1 species
AUUGAACGCUGGCGGAAUGCUUUACACAUGCAAGUCGAACGGCAGCACGGGGGCAACCCUGGUGGCGAGUGGCGAACGGGUGAGUAAUACAUCGGAACGUGCCCAGUCGUGGGGGAUAACGUAGCGAAAGUUACGCUAAUACCGCAUACGAUCUACGGAUGAAAGCGGGGGACCGUAAGGCCUCGCGCGAUUGGAGCGGCCGAUGUCAGAUUAGGUAGUUGGUGAGGUAAAGGCUCACCAAGCCGACGAUCUGUAGCUGGUCUGAGAGGACGACCAGCCACACUGGGACUGAGACACGGCCCAGACUCCUACGGGAGGCAGCAGUGGGGAAUUUUGGACAAUGGGCGAAAGCCUGAUCCAGCCAUUCCGCGUGCAGGAUGAAGGCCCUCGGGUUGUAAACUGCUUUUGUACAGAACGAAAAGGUUUCUACUAGUACGGGGGACUCAUGACGGUACCGUAAGAAUAAGCACCGGCUAACUACGUGCCAGCAGCCGCCGUAA